GGGGACAACAUCUCGAAAGGGAUGCUAAUACCGCAUACGUCCUACGGGAGAAAGCAGGGGACCUUCGGGCCUUGCGCUAAUAGAUGAGCCUAAGUCGGAUUAGCUAGUUGGUGGGGUAAAGGCCUACCAAGGCGACGAUCUGUAGCGGGUCUGAGAGGAUGAUCCGCCACACUGGGACUGAGACACGGCCCAGACUCCUACGGGAGGCAGCAGUGGGGAAUAUUGGACAAUGGGGGGAACCCUGAUCCAGCCAUGCCGCGUGUGUGAAGAAGGCCUUUUGGUUGUAAAGCACUUUAAGCGAGGAGGAGGCUACCGAGAUUAAUACUCUUGGAUAGUGGACGUUACUCGCAGAAUAAGCACCGGCUAACUCUGUGCCAGCAGCCGCGGUAAUACAGAGGGUGCAAGCGUUAAUCGGAUUUACUGGGCGUAAAGCGCGCGUAGGUGGCCAAUUAAGUCAAAUGUGAAAUCCCCGAGCUUAACUUGGGAAUUGCAUUCGAUACUGGUUGGCUAGAGUAUGGGAGAGGAUGGUAGAAUUCCAGGUGUAGCGGUGAAAUGCGUAGAGAUCUGGAGGAAUACCGAUGGCGAAGGCAGCCAUCUGGCCUAAUACUGACACUGAGGUGCGAAAGCAUGGGGAGCAAACAGGAUUAGAUACCCUGGUAGUCCAUGCCGUAAACGAUGUCUACUAGCCGUU
rnacentral:rRNA from 1 species